ACAUGAGAGUAAGACCAUAACAUUGAAUCCUUGAUGGUUAUCCUAACAUUUUCAUUUAUCACAAACACUUCAAGAUAAUGUUACAUAAACAUAGUUUUAACAACUCUACAUGCCAAAAUAAACUCAUCGACUCAACUACAAGCUGCUACUGUGCAUCAAGCAGCAAGCAGUUCAAGAUGAUCUCGUUUCAAAAAGAAUAGCAUCACUCUCACAUGAUCAACUAACCCCUUGAACUCAUGCAGAAUUUCUUCUCAUUAAUAUUCAAUCCCAAAGCUCAAAGCUAAUCACGAAGCAGAUAAUCACCUCAACACUGAAAACCUCAGCAACAGAAAAAAAAUUCCAGGAAAAACAUUGAUACCGCCUGCCAAGUUAGUGCUCCAAUAAUGAUUUCCAGUUAUCAAUUAUGGUAAAUAUUGUAGUAUUCUACAUCAGAACAAAAGUUACAGAGAACCCAGAAUGGAAAAUAAAAAAAAAGAAAGGAAGAAAUUUCAUUCCAGUACCACAGUAGCCCCCAAUUCUUUGAGCUUCUCAAGAAUGGGAUUAGCCUCCUCUUUAGUGAUCCCUUUCUUCAAAACCACAGGCACUUUCUCCACUAAAUCCUUAGCCUCCUUUAAACCCAAAUCUGUAAAAGUCCUAACUUCUUUUAUAAUCUUGAUCUUCGCCGCGGCAUCGAAUUUCUCCAGUUUAAUGUCGAACACCGUCUUCUCCGCCGCUGGCUUGGCAUCCGCCGGCGCGGAUCCAGGGGAAGCUGGGCCCGAUAAAACGGUCCCAGAAAGAGCGGGGCCAUAACGAUGGAGUCCCAUUUUGUGGCGGAAGAGAAUCGCAUAAUCGUGUCUCUCAAGCUUAGUAAGGUCAAGGAGCUCGUCGGCAAUGCGCUCAAUUUUCUGGGUUCGAGUCUCGGAGGCAGUGGAGGUUGCAGAAGCAGUGCAGAGGGAUCGAGAGAUGGGUUUUGGAGUGAAGGUGAAGAGUCUGAUGAAGGAUUUGGAGCUCAUUUUUGUGGUUACAGAGCGCAUUUCUGCGGAGAAUUUGAGAGGGUUUAUUUUAUUGGAUCAGUAAGGUAGACAUUUUGGAGUAUGCAGAGCGAACAAGGAAGCUUAGCUAGGGUAAAUCUAGAGAUG
rnacentral:misc_RNA from 1 species